rnacentral:rRNA from 1 species
CAGCAGCCACGGUAAUACGUAGGUGGCAAGCGUUGUCCGGAAUUAUUGGGCGUAAAGGGCUCGCAGGCGGUUUCUUAAGUCUGAUGUGAAAGCCCCCGGCUCAACCGGGGAGGGUCAUUGGAAACUGGGAAACUUGAGUGCAGAAGAGGAGAGUGGAAUUCCACGUGUAGCGGUGAAAUGCGUAGAGAUGUGGAGGAACACCAGUGGCGAAGGCGACUCUCUGGUCUGUAACUGACGCUGGGGAGCGAAAGCGUGGGGAGCGAACAGGAUUAGAUACCCGAGUAGUCCCUGUCUCUUAUAC